GAUACAGAGAGAGGCACACACACAGGGAGAACAAAGAUUUUUCUCUUCCCACUACGUCCCUAGAAUUAUGCCCUGGAGGUACCUUGGGCCCAGCUACCCCAGUUCUCUCCCAGACAUGCCUUCUGCUUCUGCUUCUGCUUCUUGCUGGCAGGGGAUGAGAACUCUGGGAUCUCAUUGCCUUACCCUCAGCUUGUGGGACUCACAUCCCCUGUGCUCUCUGGCAAGAUGUAUACCUCACAGACCAGACCACUGUCUCUGAAACCCUGAAGUCUGCUCACUGCUAGCUUCCUCACUGGCUCUCCUGGAUCCAGACCCUUCCUAGUCGCAGGAAACAGAAGAGUCUGACUCUAACAUUCUGUACACUAUCCGAGUCUUGAGUCUUUUCCAGGCAUUGGCUUUGACAUUUCAAAAGCUUAAUCUUUUGCCUUCAGUAGACUUUUCUCUUAAACUCUCCCCUGCUUACAGUUUUGAAGUCUCUUUUGAAAUGUAAAAAUAUCAGGAAUCAAUUCUGUGCUUUCUUUCAUUUUUUUUCCUUGAGCAAUAAAAGCGAAAUAAUUAGUAGCCUAAAGGGAAAGGGUAUGGGGAGGGGUAGAGAUAACAGGAAAGAAUAGAUAGGAAAGAGGGGGUAUCAGUUAAUGUUCAAAAUACUGUCCUGCCACAUAUGUUUAUUGUUCUUUUCUCACCACAACUUCACAGCGGAUUUGCUGAGAUCCCACUCUUUUUGAAGAAAACUACUCUGGACCAAUGGAAAUGGUUAAACCAUAGGAUUAUAUUACUUUUCGUUUGUGGGCACAUCCAGGUGGAAAUAAGAACUUGCAUUCUUAUCAGCAGAAGGAAAAUUUUUAGCAUAUAGGAAGAACUAUUGUCAGCAUCUGUGGAAAAAGCCUUAGCUUUACUCCCCCAUGGAAGAAAGCCAACGAAAGCCGCCCCAUGAAUUUAACUUGAUAGAUGUUGAUUCUCUGCCUGAAGAAGAGAACCAAGCUGGGAAAGCUGGACUGGAAAGUAGGAAGAGUUUGCUUCCAUAAGACCAAUGGUCUGUCUGUGACAGACAGUGGCUCAGUUUUGACAAGCAUGUAGAGAGUACACACAUUGGCCGAAUCCUGCAUUGGAGGUCAGAGAUAUAAAGGUGAGUCAACACAGUUCUUAUCCUAGGCCUUCAGUGACUACUUGGAAGGACAGAUGAAGCCCACAGUGCAACCUGUCAUGAUUGUGAGUAAUGCCAAAAAAGACUCAAAAUGAAAAAUGCUCUGAAGUUCUAGAGGGGAAGUAGUCAGCUGGGGCUGGGGGUGGCUAAGAGAAGGCUUCUCACAAGGAAUAAUACUGAUGCUAAUUAGAACCUCCAUGUUGGUUCUAGCCAACAGUUAUUUUGUGAAAAUGAAAUAAAUUUGAGACUUUAUUGACAUUGCUGGUCUGCCCUAAUUCUUUUAUUUAUUUUUUUCUUAAUGAUCAGUUUACUCGUAAGUUGCCAUUUAAAAAAUGUAUAUAUAGAAGAGUUCCUGCUUUAGCACAGUGGGUUAAGAUUCUGACUAGAGCAGCUCAGGUCGCUAUUGAGGCACAGGUUUGAUCCCUGGCCUGGCACGGUGGGUUAAAGAAUCCAGCAUUGCCACAGCUGUGGUAUAGGUUGCAGCUGCUGCUCAGAUUCAGUCCCAUAAAUCCUGUGCUUUCUUUUGUGACUCUUUUUCCUGCUUCUCUCGCAUAUGUUCAAGUGUUAAAAUAUGCUCGAAGCUAUACUUCUACAGAGUAGACAUAAACGAUGAUUUCUUCUAAAUAAGCUGAAACUGGAGUCUGUAUGCAUUAUAUAUACAUCUCUUUGACAUUAAUCCUCAAAAUACCUUCCUUUCUUCCUUUCAAAGACUUCCAUUUUUGUUUUCUGCUCUGCAUUUUCUUCUCCACUCUUUUCCUAUAGUUUGCCAGUAUCCUGCGGCCUGUGAUCCAGCAGCAUGCCCCAGGAUUCCUGAAAAGAAACACUUGGAGAAGCCCAGUACUGUGGUCUUGCAGAACUGCAUACCUGCUAUAACAUACUAAUAUAUAGGAACAAGAACCCAAUUCUGCUAAAUCACCUGGCUCCUAAAGAUUUUAUGACUUGGAAUAACUGAAUCUCACUAUCUCGUCCCAACAUGACCCCAAAGAGAAUGACUUGACAGGGGUUAAAUGUAUGUUUGGGCUCUAAAGCUGUACAGAUCUAGAUUCAGAACAAGGUUUGCCACAGAAUCACUGUGUGACUUUGGACAGGGGAAAAGUAAAUCUAAGUAGAUGUUCUCAUAUUUCCCCACUUCACCCUAGUACACUACCUCAGUGUGCUGUGCUGGGGGAGAAUCUGCCUGGACUGCGUACUGGAGGAGUUUAAGGUCUUGGAGCCUACGUCAGGUGGAACAUGCCCAACUUACUGGUCACCAUUAUAAUCUCACCAGGAUACCAUAUGGU
ensembl:lncRNA